GGGACGAACGCUGGCGGCGUGCUUAACACAUGCAAGUCGAGCGGAAAGGCCUUUCGGGGUACUCGAGCGGCGAACGGGUGAGUAACACGUGAGUAAUCUGCCCAUCGCUUCAGGAUAGCCAUCGGAAACGGUGAUUAAUACUGGAUAUGACAUUCCUUCGCAUGUUGGGGUGUGGAAAGUUUUUUCGGCGGUGGAUGUGCUCGCGGCCUAUCAGCUUGUGGUGGGGUAAUGGCCUACCAAGGCUUUGACGGGUAGCCGGCCUGAG
rnacentral:rRNA from 1 species